GCUUAUCCAUCUCCCCUCCCAUCUCAUUAGCGUUAUGCGGCGGCGGCGGCGACUCGCACGGCUGGAACUACAUCGGCCUCGUGGAGAAGGAGCUCGUCUUCUCACCGGCCAACAAUGCCCUGACUGACCAGGUGGCUGGAAUCCGGCGAUCAUUGCCUUCCGCGUUCCAACAACCGAAUGCCAUCCAUGAGAACAAUGGAUGGAACCCAGUUCUUACUGGUGGACGUAAAAGUGUACUGCAAGUUCUCCAACCGCAAGCAACUUUGGAGUCCAGCAAUCACUGAUUCGUUUGACUGAGGAGC